rnacentral:rRNA from 1 species
UACGGAGGGGGCUAGCGUUGUUCGGAAUUACUGGGCGUAAAGCGCACGUAGGCGGCUUUGUAAGUUAGAGGUGAAAGCCCGGGGCUCAACUCCGGAAUUGCCUUUAAGACUGCAUCGCUCGAAUCAUGGAGAGGUGAGUGGAAUUCCGAGUGUAGAGGUGAAAUUCGUAGAUAUUCGGAAGAACACCAGUGGCGAAGGCGACUCACUGGACAUGUAUUGACGCUGAGGUGCGAAAGCGUGGGGAGCAAACAGG